rnacentral:rRNA from 1 species
GGGAGGCAGCAGUGGGGAAUUUUGGACAAUGGGGGAAACCCUGAUCCAGCCAUCCCGCGUGUGCGAUGAAGGCCUUCGGGUUGUAAAGCACUUUUGGCAGGAAAGAAACGUCAUGGGUUAAUACCCCGUGAAACUGACGGUACCUGCAGAAUAAGCACCGGCUAACUACGUGCCAGCAGCCGCGGUAAUACGUAGGGUGCAAGCGUUAAUCGGAAUUACUGGGCGUAAAGCGUGCGCAGGCGGUUCGGAAAGAAAGAUGUGAAAUCCCAGAGCUUAACUUUGGAACUGCAUUUUUAACUGCCGGGCUAGAGUGUGUCAGAGGGAGGUGGAAUUCCGCGUGUAGCAGUGAAAUGCGUAGAUAUGCGGAGGAACACCGAUGGCGAAGGCAGCCUCCUGGGAUAACACUGACGCUCAUGCACGAAAGCGUGGGGAGCAAACAGGAUUAGAUACCCUGGUAGUCCACGCCCUAAACGAUGUCAACUAGCUGUUGGGGCCUUCGGGCCUUGGUAGCGCAGCUAACGCGUGAAGUUGACCGCCUGGGGAGUACGGUCGCAAGAUUAAAACUCAAAGGAAUUGACGG